rnacentral:tRNA from 1 species
GGCAUGGUGGCUCAGUGGUUAGAGCGCCCACCUUAUGCACGGGAGGUCGUGGGUUCGAACCCCGGCCGAGUCA